UUCCCGACGGCGGAGGACGAGAAGGUGGCCGCCGUGCUUGCCGCGGCCGCCGAUGCGUAGAGGAGGGGCGGUCAGCGCAGAAGCCCAGCUCCAAGAAUGAAGGGAUCCCCUCCUCACCUCGUCCCCGUCCUCUUCCCUACCCAGCGGACAGCCGGAGGAGGAGGAUAUGCCGUCUCUCUCCUUCCCGUACAUCGAAGGUGAGCUCCUCUACACCCAAGAGGACGCAGGCUCGCCGUGCACAACGACGGAGCAGCAACCCGCGCCCCUCCUCCCCACCAUGAUACAUCCUCCCCCGGUCGUCGGAUCCGGCCGAGAUCAGUUUUGGACGUGCUACCACUGGGGUGCAUCCCUUUCUUACGCCCCCACGUCGGCCUCCAUGGUUGUUGUCCUCCUCUUGGUCAUGUUCUCACGGCUGGCUUCAAAGAUUACACUCGGCGGUGGCUUAACUGAAUUCAGAGAAGUUUGGACGUAUACAGUUCUACAAUCAAGCACGUGUAUGUGUUUGAUAUAAUGCCUAAAUGUACUAGCAUCCUUUUUGUUGCAUUGGCUGUUGGUGCAUAACAAAUGAGUAGAUGAUCUUAAUUUUCUAUAAGGAUGAUAAUCCUGACUCUUAUUUUUGACCUUCUUUUACUGUGUAUAACAUGCUAAUUUCAACUGAAUAGACUGCCAAUUUGCCAAUCAGUUUGUGUUAUUUUCACUGAAUAUUUUGUUGAUGUGCAGUAAAAUGUUUGUGGUUGCAGGCAGAUCUUGAGUGGAUUAUGUCCUUUAACUCAGAUUUGCUCAUUGCUGUCGGUGGAUACUUGCUCUGAGGGUGUGAUCUGCAUCAUCGUCAUGUAUUGUGUCGGUCAUAAGGAUUGUGGUUGUGGCAGUGCUUCAGCGCUAAGGGCAUGUUUCCAUCAGAAUGUUGGAGCAGCUGGCUCAGCCAACAUGGUGAGGGUGUCUCCCAAGACCUCUGGAUGGGAUUGGCAUUCCACAAAUUGUUCAAUACCUUAUCUACUUUGCAACAAUGGGAUGAUGAGCUGAUUUCUCGUCUAGCGUAAAGAGAGAGAAUGAUAUAUCCGAUGUUCUUAAUUACUAGAGUCAGGGUCCUGCUCAAAUCGUGGUCCUUCUGUUCUAUGUAAUUUUAUUUUCUUGAUGAUGUGAUGUUCUGCCAUUCAUUCUAUGUUAUGCCUGAUGCGUGUGUCUUAAGCCUACCAAUAACUUUUUGGAUCAAUGGUAAAUCUACUGAGCAAACUCCUGUCUUAUCCCAAUUGUGUGUCUUAAGGUUAAUCUAUUCAUAGUUACUUUUCCUUACAAAGGUCAUCUC
rnacentral:lncRNA from 1 species